CUCUCUCUCUCUCUCUCCUAGCAAGACAGAUUGAAAGAAAGCUCCUUUUUCUUUCUCCAAAACUGUUCAGAUGAUCAUCACUGACCAAGAAAUCACUGUGAGAGAAAUGAAACGAAAAAGCAGAAGAAUCAUGGGUGUUGGAGGCCCUGAUGAUGAUGGUGGUGGUGGCGAUGCUGAUAAUGAAGAAGAUGUCAAGUGGCCGCCAUGGCUGCGUCCUCUUCUCCAAACAAGCUUCUUCGUUCAAUGCAAGCUUCAUGCUGAUGCUCACAAGAGUGAAUGCAACAUGUAUUGCUAGGACUGCAAGAAUGGUGCCCUUUGUUCUCUUUGUCUCUCAUUUCACAAAGACCAUAGAGCCAUUCAGAUAAGGAGGUCAUCAUACCAUGAUGUGAUUAGAGUUUCUGAGAUUCAGAAAUACCUGGACAUAACAGGAGUCCAGACCUACAUUAUCAACAGUGCUAGAAUUGUGUUCUUGAAUGAGAGGCCUCAGCCUAGGCCUGGUAAAGGUGUCACCAAUGCUUGUCAAGUCUGUCACCGUAGCCUUCUUGAUUCUUUCAGUUUCUGUUCCCUUGGAUGCAAGAUUGUUGUGACAUCAAAGAACUUCAGGAAGAAGAAAUUGCGCAAGGAAAUGGAUGGAUCAGACACAGAAGAAUCAAUGAAUAAUAGCAUUGGCAUUAUCAAUAAGGGAAGUGAUAAUAGCAAAAGAAAAAUCCAAAGCUUUACACCAUCAACACCACCACCAACUUCUGUGAGUUACAGGACUACUGCCAAGAGGAGGAAGGGAGUCCCUCACAGAUCUCCAAUGGGUGGAUUCAUCAUAGAAUUCUAGCCUUAGUCCUCUCUCUCUCUCUUUCUCUCUCUCUCUCUCUAUAUAUAUAUAUUCCAGGGUGGUCACUCACAUCAGAGCCUUUGUGAUAGGAGGCCGGUGUGGCAAAGCAAACUAAAACCCCAUGUUGUAUAUAUAUAAAAAGAAAAGAAAUAAGUGAAAUGAUUAAGUUCCCAAGAAAGAAAGACGAAGGAUUAAAAAGAAAAGAAAAGAAAAUGAUGUAUUAAGAUGGGUGUGUAUUAGAUUUGAGUAGGAGUUUGUGUAUCAUGUAGGCUUUCGAUGCUAAUUUAUGAUGGAAUAUGUACAUAUAUAUGGAAUGUAGGUUGUUGAGAAAAGGUGCAAUGUACUGUGAAAAAUGAAUCAAUAAAGGAAUGUAUGUUUCCAGUUA